AUUGAACGCUAGCGGCAGGCUUAACACAUGCAAGUCGAGCGAGCGGCGGACGUGUGAGUAAUGUAUCGGAAAGUGCCUGAUGGCGGGGGAUAACUACUGGAAAAGGUAGCUAAUACCGCAUACCAUCAGAUGUGCCCAGAUGGGAUUAGCUAGGUGGUGGGGUAAUGGCUCACUAAGGCGACGAACCGUAGCUGGUUUGAGAGGAUGAACAGGCAAAAUGGAAUGGAGACACGGUCCAUACUCCUACGUGAGUCAGCAGUGGGGAAGAUUGCACAAUGGGGGAUAGCCUGAUGCAGCCAUUCCGCGUGUGUGAAGAAGGCCUUCGGGUUGUAAAGCACUUUCAGCGAGGAGGCGUUACUCGCAGAAGAAGCACCGGCUAACUCCGUGCCAGCCGCCGCGGUAAUAC
rnacentral:rRNA from 1 species